rnacentral:lncRNA from 1 species
CUUCAAUUUUAGUUAUUCAAUUAAAAACCCCUCUUUUAUAAUUUCCUUUUGUAUUAUCUAUUAAAAACCCCUCUUUUAAAGUUGUUUGAUUAGAGCAUCAUCUAGCUUUGCUUAACGCAGUAUUAAAAAUCCCUUUGAGUUUAAUCACACUUCGAUUAGAGCGUAACUUUAUCGCAUUGACUUGAUCCAGUACUUGAACGAUAUCUACUGUUUUGCUUCUGCUAUGCCCAAGGAGAAAAUUAAUUUCACCGUGAGAUAAGAGCAUUAAAAGGAAUUCAUAAGAAAUUUAAAUUAAAGCUAUGUUAAAUAUAUCGCUAGCUACUUGUUUUUGGAGGAAUUAAAACAAUUAAUAAGCUGCGAAGUGAAAAUGAAUAAAUAAAUGAAAUGACGUUGAAAAUAAGUCUCGCCGCCUGGAUCCAAGGCCAAAACAUUCAUGAUAAGUUAGGUAAUUAAGUACAUGUUUUCAAGCUCUUCAUGAAGAAUAACGUUAUUGAAAUAAAUCACAAAGACCCCUGCGCAAAUUAUUACAUUGAUUAAAAAACAAAAAAGCCAUAUCUUUAACAGGAUCGUGACUCUCGGACUGUUAAUUACUUUAUUCCCUGCUUGGCCAACAGCUGGCCACUAAACAAAAUCAUAUAAAUUUUAAAUUUAGUCAAAUUGGUCCCACUUGAUGACAUCCUUUUCAUACAUAAAAUUGUUUAACGUCAAGGUUAAAUAUGAGAAGUUUGGUAGAGAAGGUAAAAAGGAAGUCUAUAUAAGGAGGGGAACGAGCUUUGUUUAUAGCACAAGUGAAACUCCACUUUAUUGAACGAUGGGGUCUCAAAUGGGCUGCCUCUUUGCCACUCUUUUGGUAGUAUCAGUCUCUCUUAGCUACUUGCCGUUAGAAGCCUCCGCAAACAAAUACUACUACACAUCUCCUCCCCCUCCCAAGUACAAGUCUCCACCACCCCCGCCACCGGUUCACAAUUCUCCACCACCACCCCCUGUUUACCUGCCCCCGCCACCUCCUCCACCAGUCUACGUGCCUGCUCCGGCACCAACUCCAAUUUCCUAUUCCCCGCCACCUCCUGUCCCCAAGUCCCCACCACCACCUCACCCUUACGUCUAUGCAUCUCCCCCUCCUCCUUACUACUACUAGAAAGCGGCCAUGAAUAGCUCAUGCUUUUAUGGUAAUCUCAUUUAUUUUUAAAACUGUACAUGUAAAGGCUAGUAGUUCAGAAUUACAUUAAGCAUUUCAAUUUUAAGCACCGUGUUCUGUUUAAUUGCGUUCCUAUUGAUUAAGUGACAAAUAAAAGAGAUUGAUUAAUUUGUUCUUGUAGGAGAGGCGAAUGGUAUCCGAAUAAAGAAAGCAAGGGUUUGAUGGAAGGCUUACUUGGAGCAAGAUAGCGAUCAAUCGAGUUGCUGCGUUUUAUUCUCUUUUAUCUUUGUUUUUUAAGAAAAAUAAACUGCCACGCGUAGAAACAGAAAAUUAAGUUCUUGUCAUUUUCAUGCAUAUGGAUUGUUGAUGUGUGUGUCAAUCAAAUCUCCGGUGUGUCAUUUGUAAUUUUCAACCUUUAUGCAUGCAAAUGGGANN